rnacentral:rRNA from 1 species
GUAGGUGGCAAGCGUUGUCCGGAAUUAUUGGGCGUAAGGCGCGCGCAGGGCGGUCCUUUAAGUCUGAUGUGAAAGCCCACGGCUCAACCGUGGAGGGUCAUUGGAAACUGGGGGACUUGAGUACAGAAGAGGAAAGCGGAAUUCCAAGUGUAGCGUUGAAAUGCGUAGAGAUUUGGAGGAACACCAGUGGCGAAGGCGGCUUUCUGGUCUGUAACUGACGCUGAGGCGCGAAAGCGUGGGGAGCAAACAGGAUUAGAUACCCUGGUAGUCCACGCCGUAAACGAUGAGUGCUAAGUGUUAGGGGGUUUCCGCCCCUUAGUGCUGCAGCUAACGCAUUAAGCACUCCGCCUGGGGAGUACGGCCGCAAGGCUG